rnacentral:rRNA from 1 species
AGUGAACGCUGGCGGUAGGCCUAACACAUGCAAGUCGAACGGCAGCACAGUAAGAGCUUGCUCUUACGGGUGGCGAGUGGCGGACGGGUGAGGAAUACAUCGGAAUCUACUUUUUCGUGGGGGAUAACGUAGGGAAACUUACGCUAAUACCGCAUACGACCUACGGGUGAAAGCAGGGGAUCUUCGGACCUUGCGCGAUUGAAUGAGCCGAUGUCGGAUUAGCUAGUUGGCGGGGUAAAGGCCCACCAAGGCGACGAUCCGUAGCUGGUCUGAGAGGAUGAUCAGCCACACUGGAACUGAGAAACGGUCCAGGCUCCUACGGGAGGCAGCAGUGGGGAAUAUUGGACAAUGGGCGAAAGCCUGAUCCAGCAAUACCGCGUGGGUGAAGAAGGACUUCGGGUUGUAAAGCCCUUUUGUUGGGAAAGAAAAGCAGCAGGUUAAUACCCCGCUGUUCUGACGGUACCCAAAGAAUAAGCACCGGCUAACUUCGUG